rnacentral:lncRNA from 1 species
ACGGAGUUUUGCUCUGUCGCCCAGGCUGGAGUGCAGUGGCGCGAUCUUGGCUCACUGCAAACUCCACUUCCCAGGUUCACGCCAUUCUCCUGCCUCAGGUCCCGAGUGGCUGGGACUACAGGCGCCGCCACCACGCCCGGCUAAUUUUUUUGUAUUCUUAGUAGAGACAGGGUUUCACCAUGUUAGCCAGGAUGGUCUCGCUCUCCUGACCUCGCGAUCCGCCCACCUCGGCCUCCCAAAGUGCUGGGAUUACAGGCGUGAGCCACUGCGCCCGGCCAAAUCAGGGUUUUUAAAGGAGUCGAUUUGAAAAGGUUAUUGCAGGCUGGGCAUGGUGGCUCACGCUUGUCAUUCUAGCACUUUGGGAGGCUGAGGCGGGUGGAUCACCUGAGGUCAGGAGUUCAAGGCCAGCCUGGCCAACAUAGUGAAACCCCAUCUCCACUAAAAAUACAAAAAUUUAGCCGGGCAUGGUGGCACACGCUUGUAAUCCCAGCUACUCGAGAGGCUGAGGCAGGAGAAUUGCUUGAACCUGGGAGACAAAGGUUGCAGUGAGCUGAGAUCACACCACUGCACUCCAUCCUGGGUGACAGGGUGAGACUCUGUCUCAAAAAAAAAAAAAAAGGUUAUUGCAGCACCGAGGACUAUCGCGAUGGGGGAACUCUGCUCCCACCGCAGGGUCUACAAGGAGCUCCAGGGCUAGGCGAAGGCUUUUUGUUUUUUUAUGCUCCCAGCCCCACCCUCGGAUAUCACUCAACGGGCUCCCAGGGAGUCCCCAGACGCUGGUGCAGGUGUGUGGGGGCCUGCUUCACUGGUGACCUCAUGUGGCCAGUGUCAGGGGCUGGGGCAGCCCGAGUUUGAGUUCUCUUCUCCUUCCUGUCCCUCAACAAGCCCAUCACAAUGAUCAGUCCCCGAAGGGGUACGCACCUGCCCCAGGUCCAUCCAAGGUCCCCAGCUCCAAAAACUGCUUUCCAAAUUCCAGCUCCCUUAGAGGGUGGCCAGUUCUCAAUCGUGAGGGGUGAGCUAUAGGAUUAAUUUGCCUUUGAAUAGCAGAGAGGCCUGGGCCUCAUCUUCCCAGCAGCGGAAGCAUUAUUAUAAUGCACCCGAAUUCUCCCAGAGCCCACGGGAGGUGGGUGGGUAGGCCCUUACUGCCUGGGUGGUCAGAGUGGGGGGCUCACAGAUCCUGGGCCAGGGCUCCACGUGACCCCAGUUGCCGCAAAGGUUCCCAGCACCCCAGAAUGCCCUGGUCCACCACUGGGCAAGGUCUCCCUAAUGGAAGGGCCGCGGGGAGGAGGGUGCCCAGCGCACUAGGGAAAAGCUGCCCAACCCCCAGUCCCAGGAGACCUGCAGCCAGGAGGCCUCUUUGCUAACACCCCGUGGAGCUGACUGCUCACUCCAGUGACUUCAUAUUUCUGGCACCUGGAGCCUUCCUGGUUCCUUGUGGGACUCGGUGGCUCCAGGAUAAGACUCAGACUAUGGGACCCACUCAGGGCCUGUGACCCCAAUCCCUGUCCCCCACCUCCCAUUCAGCUGGGACGAGACUGCAUGGGUCCUGCAGACAGGCACCUCCACUGGAUCCAGGAUGGAGCCCCACGGCUGCCCUCCCACCCGGUGCUGGGAGGUAGAUGAGGGGUUCAUGCUCUGAGCCCCGGACUUGCCCUCUUAACUGAGAGGCUCGGGAGUGUUCUGGGAACACAGAAUCAGUGCUGCUUCCUCUCUUGCUCUGAUCCCAGCCUAGAGA